rnacentral:rRNA from 1 species
UAAACUAGGAUUAGAUACCCUAUUAUUAGGAAUGUAAAUUUAAAAAACUAAAUUAGUAUUAGUUAUGUUCUUGAAAAUUAAAAAAUUUGGCGGUAUUUUAGUCUUUUCAGAGGAAUCUGUCCUGUAAUUGAUAAUCCACGAUUAGAAAUACUUUAUUUAUUAGUUUGCAUAUCGUCGUAGUUAAAUAUUUUAAUAGAAUUAUAAAUAUUUGAAAUUUUAAGUUAAAAAGUAAAUCAGAUCAAGGUGUAGUUUAUAAUAAAGAAGAGAUGGGUUACAUUAAAUUUAUUUAAGGAUAAUUUUUAUUAUAGAAAUUUGAAUAUGGAUUUGAGAGUAAUUUUAAAGUUUUAUUAAAAUGAUUUUAGCUCUAAAAUAUGCACACAUCGCCCGUCGCUCUUAA